UUUUGCGCUCGGAUGUCCAAAUUUGAAAUCUGAAAUAAACGAAUGGUGAAAUGCUCCUCCGUAAAAUUAUAGGUACGAUCCCGAAUGUGCGCGGUUGGACGUUUGCGCGCCGCGGCCGGUCCGAGGAGCUCGCGAUAGGAAAGUAUCGAAAGCGAAAAGCUAGCCAAAAUACCGUAGGAAAUUUAAGGGAUCUAUUAUUGAAUCGAAUAUAAUUUAUCCUUGCGAUGAAUUUACUCGGCUCGAUACACAUUCUAAAAUCAGUUUUGACGCGUAUGAACCUUAAAACUACCACGAUACGGUUGCUUUUUAAAAGACAUUGUUACCUUGCCACUUAGCUAAUACGGAAGCUAACCGCUCCCACAAAAGCGACGAUGACUUAAGGCGAGAUUCCACCAGUGUGCUGCACUGUACGACACAAGCAUAUUUAGUACAAAAAUGCUUGUACCGUACAGUACUGCACACUGGUGGAAUCCCGCCUUUAUGUUUAACAGUUUUAAAAAUCAUUUUAAAACAUCAUAUACUAUACCUUAUUUCGGCUAGUUUUUUUAGGUCAUACAAACUAUCAAUCGUCGUUGUUUGCCAGACAUUUGAAGGGGUCGGGAAAGAACUAAGACAUUAAAAUACGAGUCAAAAAUAUCCCAAUAUAAUAUACUGAUGUAGAUAUACAGGGUACUGCUCCUUUGUCACACUGCCGCGCUAAACAUAUCUGUCCAACUUUAUUAGAUAAAGAAAAUCGGUUGUAUACCUUGAUCUCAUACGAAAUACGAUCAAUAAUUUAAUAUUAAUGAGUUUUAUAAUCUAGUUCCUCCUCAUUCACGCGGCAUCGUUAUUAGCGCCAUUUAAUAAAGUAAAUUGAUAUCAAAUUAAAUUUGGCGAAGCGGGCUAACUAAUUAACUCUAGUUAGCUAUAUCUCAAAAACAAAUGAAUUUUGAAAAAUGUAUUGUUUUGUUUAUGUGUAUAUGUUUGUAAUCAAUUUUGAUGUGAGAUACCGCUAUGAGGGCAGUAGAGCCAAGAAAAGUCUGCAACGAUUUUGAUAACACACGCAGUGCAAGUGUUAUUUAAAAAAAUGAAACUUAUGUGAAAUUACUAUGCAUAGAUUUGUCGCUUAACUUCAAACUCGGGUAACUCGGGUUAUAUCCAUUCGACCCUCUCAGCAAAUAUCUACCCCCUUUUCAUUAUACCAAAAUCGCAAUCAGACAGAUGUAUUUACCCGACUUUGAAGUUAAGAGACGUAAAGUCAAAGAAAACUUGUAGAUGGCGCUGUACGAUCGAGUAGCAUUUUUUUCAGCACCAUCUAUUUCAGCUGCGUUUCACUAAAAGUUUCGUUAAAUGUAAUUAAUUUUGGGCAACUUCCGCUGACCCCUUCAUCUGCGUAGUAUAUUUGUGUAGGGUUGUCAAAAAUGUGUUCUCUCGGAUUAGGAAAGAUGCUAUAAUAUGUUUCUAAGUGUAUGCGGGUGAUAGGUGGCGACGAAAUGCCAAUUUCGCUUAUUAUCUUUGAUAUUGUACACAAAAUAAAUAAUUGACAGAAUCUGAUUGCGUCACUUUGUAGAGAUUACCUACAAAAUCGAGUGUAUGUGUUUUGUACAUAAUGAUAAAUUUGUAUCAUGUAUAUACAUAUUAUUUAGUUGUAAAGAUAAUUUCGAUUAUCAUUUUUUUUUAAUUAUUUUAAGAGCCACAUCUCUGUUGUAUAGUUCGAUAAAUAUAUUGUUUUGAUUGUUCA